rnacentral:rRNA from 1 species
CGUAGGAGAUGGCGACCGGCGCACGGGUGAGUAACACGUAUCCAACCUGCCGAUAACUCGGGGAUAGCCUUUCGAAAGAAAGAUUAAUACCCGAUGGCAUAAUAGAACCGCAUGGUUUGAUUAUUAAAGAAUUUCGGUUAUCGAUGGGGAUGCGUUCCAUUAGGCAGUUGGUGGGUAACGGCCCACCAAACCUUCGAUGGAUAGGGGUUCUGAGAGGAAGGUCCCCCACAUUGGAACUGAGACACGGUCCAA